rnacentral:rRNA from 1 species
GAUGAACGCUGGCGGUGUGCCUUAAGCAUGCAAGUCGAACGGGUUUGGAGCAAUCCAGACCAGUGGCAGACGGGUGAGUAACGCGUAGGAAUCUACCUUGAAAUGGGGAAUAGCCCCGCGAAAGCGGGGGUAAUACCGCAUGACAUCGCAAGAUCAAAGGCCUUAACUGGCCGUUUCAAGAGGAGCCUGCGUCCUAUCAGCUAGUUGGUGAGAUAACAGCCCACCAAGGCGAUGACGGGUAGGGGGUGUGAGAGCACGGCCCCCACAAAGUCACUGAGACAAGGGACUUACACCUACGGGUGGCAGCAACUGGGAAUUUUGCGCAAUGGACGAAAGUCUGACGCAGCGACACCGCGUGUGGGAUGAAGUAUUUCGGUAUGUAAACCACUGUGGCGAGGGAUGACUAAAGACAGUACCUCGCUAGAAAGCAUCUGCUAACUACGUGCCAGAAGCCUCGGCAAUGCGUGGGAUGCAAGCGUUAUCCGGAUUUACUGGGCGUAAAGGGUUUCGCAGGCGGACUGUUAAGUCUGGUCUUAAAGACUAGGGCUCAACCCUAGAUGUGGAUUAGAUACUGGCAGUCUUGAGGGUAUCAGGGGGGACUGGAACACUCG